CCGGCAGUUUCCAUGUCGUCUUCGUCGCCGUCAGUGAUCGUUUCUGCUGAUACAAACGUGUCUGGACACUUAUUGAGGGUGUGGGACACUCGGGUCGGGAGUCGGAUCCCAGAAAUAAUAGCGGAGUGGCGGCCGAUGUUGGGAAAAUUUGUCGGAAUAAAUGCCGGCGGCGGGCAGAAGGUUUACGUUAGAGAUGACAUCACGGGGAGAUUAACGGUGGGUGACAUGAGAAAAGUUAGCUCACCGCUAGCAAAUGCAACGGAAUCCGAUUUGGAUACGUGGUGGGAUGCUGACGCCGUU
rnacentral:misc_RNA from 1 species